UACGGAGGGUGCAAGCGUUAUCCGGAUUUACUGGGCGGAAAGCGCGCGCAGGCGGCUAUCCAAGUCAGUGGUGAAAGCCCGGAGCUCAACUCCGGAACUGCCAUUGAAACUGUUUAGCUUGAGGACGAGAGAGGUGAGUGGAAUUCCCAGUGUAGAGGUGAAAUUCGUAGAUAUUGGGAAGAACACCGAUGGCGAAGGCAGCCCCCUGGGCUAACACUGACGCUCAUGCACGAAAGCGCGGGGAGCAAACAGG
rnacentral:rRNA from 1 species